rnacentral:rRNA from 1 species
GAUGAACGCUGGCGGCGCGCCUAACACAUGCAAGUCGAACGGCACCUGCCUUCGGGCAGAAGCGAGUGGCGAACGGCUGAGUAACACGUGGAGAACCUGCCCCCUCCCCCGGGAUAGCCGCCCGAAAGGACGGGUAAUACCGGAUACCCCGGGGUGCCGCAUGGCACCCCGGCUGAAGCCCCGACGGGAGGGGAUGGCUCCGCGGCCCAUCAGGUAGACGGCGGGGUGACGGCCCACCGUGCCGACAACGGGUAGCCGGGUUGAGAGACCGACCGGCCAGAUUGGGACUGAGACACGGCCCAGACUCCUACGGGAGGCAGCAGUGGGGAAUCUUGCGCAAUGGGGGGAACCCUGACGCAGCGACGCCGCGUGCGGGACGGAGGCCUUCGGGUCGUAAACCGCUUUCAGCAGGGAAGAGUCAAGACU